UACGUAGGUGGCAAGCGUUUGUCCGGAUUUAUUGGGCGUAAAGAGCUCGUAGGCGGCUUGGCAAGUCGGGUGUGAAACCUCCAGGCUCAACCUGGAGACGCCACUCGAUACUGCUAUGGCUAGAGUCCGGUAGGGGACCACGGAAUUCCUGGUGUAGCGGUGAAAUGCGCAGAUAUCAGGAGGAACACCGGUGGCGAAGGCGGUGGUCUGGGCCGGCACUGACGCUGAGGAGCGAAAGCUAGGGGAGCAAACGGG
rnacentral:rRNA from 1 species